rnacentral:misc_RNA from 1 species
GAUGAAGAACGUAGCGAAAUGCGAUACGUAAUGUGAAUUGCAGAAUUCAGUGAAUCAUCGAGUCUUUGAACGCACAUUGCGCCCCCUGGUAUUCCGGGGGGCAUGCCUGUCCGAGCGUCAUUGCUGCCCUCAAGCACGGCUUGUGUGUUGGGCCUCCGUCCUCCUCCCGGGGGACGGGCCCGAAAGGCAGCGGCGGCACCGCGUCCGGUCCUCGAGCGUAUGGGGCUUCGUCACCCGCUCUUGUAGGCCCGGUCGGCGCUUGCCGACACAUCAAUCUUUUUUCCAGGUUGACCUCGGAUCAGGUAGGGAUACCCGCUGAACUUAAGCAUAUCAAUAAGCGGAGGA